GAUCCGUAGGUGAACCUGCGGAUGGAUCAUUAACACUUAAAUCCACAAAACAAACAAAAAAAAUACAAAACGGAUGGCUUUUUCUUUUGGGAAAAGUUGUCUUGUUUUUGUUUUUUUUGUUUUUAACAAAACACAAACAUAGCGAACUUGUCAACGGUUUGAGGAAUUAUUUUACAUGGGAAGUUUUGCUUCUUUUCCUGAUUGAGACGUGGUUGGGUUCAUCCUAAUAACAUCCAAGCUUGAUCAGAAAUUGGACACUCUUCUCUUCUUCCUCAAAUUCGUUCGUUUUUUCUUCUCUCCUAUCACUUUUUAUUAUUCUAUCACUUCCUGUUGAUUGUGAUUGUGAUUGUGAUUGUGAUUGUGAUGGAUCAUACAUCUUUUUUGUGUGUGAUCAAUCAUCAAUCAUCAAUCAUCAAUCAUCAAUCAACAAUCAACAAUCAUAGGAAUGCAAUGAAAUAACUUGACUGAGAAUCUUUGUCUUGAAUGACAUAAAACUUUUAAAUAAGAAAAUACAACUUUUAACAACGGAUAUCUUGGCUCUC
rnacentral:misc_RNA from 1 species